AAGAGUGGUAAUAAUUUUUAAUAGUUUACAGCUACAGUAUCAGGUUUAAUGAAUAUAUAUGUAUAAAUAGAGUUACAGGCCAUAAAUAUCCAUAUAGCAAAGUAUCUGCCUCUAGGCAGAGAGAGCAAAAAAAACAAAAACUUUGCAACUAAAUAAACUAACAGCUUUAAGUAAUACUGAAGGAAAACAGAUGCUGAGGUAAUUUUUCGUCUAAAUUGACUAGCAUGAGAAAGGGCAUUUUAUAGAUUUUAAAAACUUCUGUAGGAAACACGUUCAUCUCCUUACCAACAGUUACUAUAGAACAUUUGUUUUGCAAAGUUUUAAUUACAACAGUAAAAAAUCGAAUUCAUUUUUUUUUCAUUAUUCCUGGUUGUGCAAAAAUCCCCAUACUCUUUAUCCUUCAAUAUUCAACCUGCAAGAAUUUUACUGGCACCAAGUAACAUUCCUAUACGUCUAUCGAGUUUUUUCAAAGUAGACACUUUCCAGUUGUGGCCCACAGGAACACAUUUAAUGAAAGGUCCUCUGAACAGAAGCAAUACAUUUUGAGUCAAAAGAAACAAACUACCAGGUUAUUUUAUAAUUUGUAGUGACCUAUAAAAUCGACAUUCACUAUGACAUUCAGUGUUCUCAGAAGGAAACUUUUACUUUUAAAAAAAUUAUAUAUAUAAACCAAAUAUACACUGUUCUGGAGUCGUCAUCCAAAAGUAGAAGCAAACACUGAACAUCCUCCGUUUGCUGACCCCACCAAGUCUAACCAUUUGUCAACUCCUCUUUAUGCUAGGCUGAGCAGCAACUUUCAGCAAAAAUACUACAACGAUUCCCUAAGCAAAACAAAAUGUAUACAUACUUAAUUCCCUAUUUUCAAAGUUCCUCCAUUCUUGUUUUAAAAUAAACAAAGUGGUUUUACAAUGUUCUCAUAUCCCAAAGAAUGACUUCUGGGAAACCUCCAACAGAAAUUCAUUUUUGACGUAUUCUAUCUUCGUUUCCAAGGGCAUCCAAAAGCGAACAAGAGUGCCUUCACAUUGCUCUCCACGUCAAGACAGUCUCUCCUCUAAUUGAUGGGGAUCAACACCUUCCAUUUUAAGGGGGUCUCCUCAUCCAGAGGCUCCUGGAGCAGUCAGGUUCCUGAGCGGAAGAGUUUGGCUAUGAGAUUCAGAAGUUUCUGCCGGAAAUUCAGUUUGUCUCCAAUUCUCCUAAUUUGAAUGGCACACUCAGCCUCAAGCUCUGAAAAGGAAAGCA
rnacentral:lncRNA from 1 species